rnacentral:rRNA from 1 species
UCGAGAAUCUUCGGCAAUGGGCGAAAGCCUGACCGAGCAAUGCCGCGUGCGGGAUGAAGGCCCUCGGGUUGUAAACCGCUGUCGUAGGGGAGAAAGGUCUCAUGAAGAAUGAGAUUUGAUCUAUCCUAGGAGGAAGUCCGGGCUAAGUUCGUGCCAGCAGCCGCGGUAACACGAACCGGACAAACGUUAUUCGGAAUUAUUGGGCUUAAAGGGUGCGUAGGCGGUGCGGUAAGUGAGGUGUGAAAGCCCUCGGCUCAACCGAGGAAUUGCGCUUCAUACUGCCGUGCUGGAGGGAGACAGAGGUAAGCGGAACUGAUGGUGGAGCGGUGAAAUGCGUUGAUAUCAUCAGGAACACCGGUGGCGAAAGCGGCUUACUGGGUCUCUUCUGACGCUGAGGCACGAAAGCUAGGGUAGCGAACGGGAUUAGAUACCCACGUAGUCCCUGAGCGGGCUGGCAAGGCGCAU